CGUAGUAACAAAUUAUACUAGAAUAAAAGUUUCAGUUGAAGAGGAGCGUGCCAGAACCCUCUCCAGUUAUUUUUUAUUUUUUAUAUUUGUUUGUAUCAACCAAUACCAUGUUGCAUAAAAAAUAAAAUAAAUAUUCUGCUGCGAUUGUGGAACCUAGUCUCUUGCUGUUGUAUCAGGCUUCACAGGUGCUGUAUCAGCAUCUUGACGCCUGCUGUGGUGGUUGGUUGCUGAUAGAUUGAGGCUCUGUUUUUGGGAUUAUUCAAAUAAGUUGGUCAUAGAACAUGAAACAUGGAUAAACCCUACGACCAAAUUUCUCCCAUGCAACACUUCUCGCUUCCAAGACAAUGCUUCCGGAGGGGUUCAUGACCACAUCCCACCAUCCCUUCCAACUCCAUCAUCUGAGCUUCACGCGAACACGAUGAGAUGGGGGUUUCUCGCUUCGUGAAUGGCUCCUCGUGGGGCGGUUAGCAUAAGUGCCGGCACUCUGCUCAUCGGUGCCGUGUGCCUGGCACAGCCACUGGAGGACUAUUUUUAGCCUGUAGGCAGAGUGACUUUGCACCUUCCUCCUCCCAGACAGCGACUUCGGGCGGUUACCCAGGUCCAUGUGGGACUUGAUUGCUCGUUUUUUGGAAUCUGAGAGGGAAGGAGCUCUGGGUUUCGGCACCUUUUGUCUUCCCCGCAUCCUUGAAACUUCUCAACACGCACAGAACAAGGUUGUACCUAGACAUCGAUCCUUGCAACGAAACCCGCCUCUUGAGGUGCUUCCACAGGCCCCGCGGCUCCACAUUGACUAGCGUUUUAAACCUUUGGAUUGGAGCCAUUUCACGCUAUGUGUCCAGAUUCUAGUACUCCACUACUUCACUAUCGCCUGGAUUUCGAUGCGCUUCUUGUAGCGUUGCAAAGGAGUGAUAGUGACGUUCGGAGACGCUCCAGGUGCGGCAUUCACACUGAGACCUACAUCUCGUUUCUUAUAAAAGGCUUCCAAGUAAAUCCGUGCUACGAUGGGAUGGAGUCCUCAAUUUAAAUUAGAAUGGGUUCUGUGGCUGACUGUCGAUGACGGAGCGAGAUGCAUUCAUCUGGCUAGAGCAGCGCCAUAAAAUAGUAAAAUGGGGUGUGCAAGUUGGAGGAGGUAGUUUCCAGAUGUGGAAUGAAGGUGGUAUCCUAAAAUUCAAAUGGGUCCAAAGCCGAAGACCAAUUGAGGGCGGCAACCACAACUUGCACAAUUGUAUGUGAAUUCCUCCUCCCUCGCUCUCUCUCUGUCUCUAUCGCUCUUUCAUCCAUGAGGAACACAAUGGCUGCUGUUGAUAAUGAUAAUGAUGCUGCUGGAGCUCACACCACCACCACCACCACCAACGUCAUCCACUUCCGGCGCCUGUGGUGACGCUGCCUCGGCAACAAGGUCAAAACAUUCUACCGAAAACUUGCAUCAGAAGUGUCGCAUGGUGGCCUGAUGCUAGAUUCGCCUCCGGUGAUGGCAGCUUCAGCUUACGCACGAUUUGUGACUGAUGACAUUCGCCCCCACCAUGACCCACAUCUCGAUCCCACAGCAUUUAGCGGAAGCUGUCCACGCUUUUUGUGUCUAGAAGCUCAGAUAUGUUGCUUCGAUGCUAUGAAAAACCGCCCAUGAAUGAGCUGCCACGCCAUGGAAGCUCCAGAGCCCAUCUCCUUUCAAGCUCGAAUUCUCAUCCACUACCUCUGCCCAAACUUGAUCGUGCCGGAACACACGAGCUCAAGUUGUCCACUACAAGAAUGGAGCAAAUGUCCAGCUGAUGGAAAUGGUAAAUGCUACUCAUUUAGAAUUCUCUAUUUUAAAUGUGUCUUCAAUGAUUGAAACUCCAACUUGGGUGAAGCUUCUUUUGGAUGAUUUUUCACCUUUUUGUAGCCUUAAUUAAUUGUAAGAAUUUUCAGAAUGUAGCACUUAGCAAAGUCUAGUAAUGAAAUCACCUUGUCCACCAUUUUAAAUUUUAAGAGAAUACAUAUAAUACAAUUUUUUUUUUGUUGA